AUUUGACUCGAGGGGUGCUGCAAAAAAAAAAGAUUUUGAUUUGGGAAUAACAAAAAAAAAAAGUAAAAGAAGAUCUUUAAGCGGCUGAGAUUAUACCCUUAAAAACGGAUCAGGGUAAUUCCUGCGACGUGAUGAUGACCUUUGUACCU
rnacentral:ncRNA from 1 species